GACGAACGCUGGCGGCAUGCCUAACACAUGCAAGUCGAACGAGACCUUCGGGUCUAGUGGCGCACGGGUGCGUAACGCGUGGGAAUCUGCCCUCUGGUACGGAAUAACUCAGGGAAACUUGAGCUAAUACCGUAUAAUGACUUCGGUCCAAAGAUUUAUCGCCUGAGGAUGAGCCCGCGUCGGAUUAGCUAGUUGGUGAGGUAAAAGCUCACCAAGGCGACGAUCCGUAGCUGGUCUGAGAGGAUGAUCAGCCACACUGGGACUGAGACACGGCCCAGACUCCUACGGGAGGCAGCAGUGGGGAAUAUUGGACAAUGGGCGAAAGCCUGAUCCAGCAAUGCCGCGUGAGUGAUGAAGGCCUUAGGGUUGUAAAGCUCUUUUGUACGGGAAGAUAAUGACGGUACCGUAAGAAUAA
rnacentral:rRNA from 1 species